AUGAACGCUGGCGGCGUGCCUAAUACAUGCAAGUCGAGCGAACAGACGAGGAGCUUGCUCCUCUGACGUUAGCGGAGGACGGGUGAGUAACACGUGUAUAACCUACCUAUAAGACUGGGAUAACUUCGGGAAACCGGAGCUAAUACCGGAUAAUAUAUUGAACCGCAUGGUUCAAUAGUGAAAGACGGUUUUGCUGUCACUUAUAGAUGGAUCCGCGCCGCAUUAGCUAGUUGGUAAGGUAACGGCUUACCAAGGCAACGAUGCGUAGCCGACCUGAGAGGGUGAUCGGCCACACUGGAACUGAGACACGGUCCAGACUCCUACGGGAGGCAGCAGUAGGGAAUCUUCCGCAGUGGGCGAAAGCCUGACGGAGCAACGCCGCGUGAGUGAUGAAGGUCUUCGGAUCGUAAAACUCUGUUAUUAGGGAAGAACAAAUGUGUAAGUAACUAUGCACGUCUUGACGGUACCUAAUCAGAAAGCCACGGCUAACUACGUG
rnacentral:rRNA from 1 species